rnacentral:rRNA from 1 species
GGAAUUUUUGUCAAUGGGGGAAACCCUGAACAAGCAACGCCGCGUGAAGGACGAAGACCUUCGGGUUGUAAACUUCUGUCGGAGGGGACGAAGGCGGCCGCGGCGAAUACCCGUGGCCGUUGACGGUACCCUACGAGGAAGCCCCGGCUAACUCCGUGCCAGCAGCCGCGGUAAUACGGGGGGGGCACGCGUUGUUCGGAAUUACUGGGCGUAAAGGGCGCGCAGGCGGGCGGGCAAGUCUCUCGUGAAAGCCCACGGCUCAACCGUGGAAUUGCGGGAGAUACUGUUCGUCUUGAGUCCGGGAGAGGAGUGUGGAAUUCCCAGCGUAGCGGUGAAAUGCGUAGAUAUUGGGAGGAACACCGGUGGCGAAGGUGGCACUCUGGACCGGUACUGACGCUGAGGCGCGAAAGCUAGGGGAGCAAAC